rnacentral:rRNA from 1 species
AGAGUUUGAUCAUGGCUCAGAAUCAACGCUGGCGGCAGGCUUAACACAUGCAAGUCGAACGGGCGCGAGCAAUCGCGUCAGUGGCAGACGGGUGAGUAACGCGUGGGAACAUACCCUCCGGUUCGGAAUAGCUCAGGGAAACUUGGAUUAAUACCGGAUACGGCUGAAAGGCGAAAGAUUGAUCGCCGGAGGAUUGGCCC